AUAGAUGGCUGUGAGCCACCAUGUAGUUGCUAGGAAUUGAACUCAGGACCCCUGGAAGAGCAGUCAGUGCUCUUAACCUCUGAAUUUCUAUAGCACCUUCCCCCAUCUUGUUUCCUUUGCAGCCUCCUACCCAGAAGAUCAGCCAAGAAAUACUUUCUCAUCACCACCCACCCUGCUGCUAUUCUCAGCUCCCAGUAUGGGAAAGGCCAAGAAUAGGGCAGGCCAGCAGUUCAAGAAGGUGUGGCAAGAGUUCUUCCUGCCCAGGUCAAAGGUGGAAAUGUUUGGGUGGGAGAAACUGUGGGAGAAACUAGGUCCUUGCUCCAGGCCAGACAAAACACACUUUUCUUUUCUCUUUUCUCCUUAUCCCCACUUGUUUUCCUGAGAUAGGGUCUCUGAAUGUAGCCCUGGCUGUAGGCUGGCUUCAAACUCACAGAGUCCACCCACCUGUCUCCCAAGAGCUGAAGUGAAGGUGUGCACUGCCAUGCCCACUCCUUUUUUUGAGUCAAGCUGACCUCAAACAUGUGAUCCUCCUGCCUCUACUUCCAAAGUGCUGAGAUUCUCAGCAUGUAUCACAAUACACCUACGAGGACUAUUAUAGCCUCUGCCCUGAAGCCUCCAGCAAUAAACCAAGAGCCCUAAGCUUCUGAAUUUCCCCAGAGCGUUACCAGGAACUCUAGCCAACAGUUUCAAAUGCAAAAAUUAGUCUUUUCCUCCUUCAAGCAGGGACUGACUGGGCAGUAGGGAAAGGAGACAUGGAAGAACACAUCUGUGACUCCUCACUCCCCCAGGAUCCCUGCAGCACUGACUGUUCACCAUGGCUUCUAAACAUCUACGUCUGCUUCUCCCAGGGCCUCAGUACCACUGAGGAUAGGUGUAGGGAUGGGCACCACGCUGUGGCUGAGUCUAGAGGGCAACAGUGGUUUAUAGGCCCCCAGGGAGGAACAAACUAGAUGGUUAAUGAGUGUCAAGAUGUGGGUCACAGACCCAGGCUCCCUGAGGAGGUCAACACUAUUGGUCUCUUCUAGAAAUGGGCCCUAACUAAGCAUGUCUGAGUGCAGUUUCCAGAGCUGUACCCUUCUUUCGAAUGGAAAGCUCACAACCAACCUUGAGAAACCACCUAAGGAAACACUGCAUCAUGAUAAGCUCUCAGCAUCCACACAAAGAUGGGAAAAGAAGGGCAAGAGUGGAGAGGAUUACAGUGUGCUGCAUGGAGUCAUUCCCAUGCAGACACUAGCCAGGCUCCUCCAAUCAGCUUAACUCAUGGUCAUAAAGGGAAGAAAUAAUAGGUCCUGUUUUUGAGCUCUCUUAUUUAGGGUAUAACACGGGGUAGCUGUUGGAAUCAGAAUUAAAAGCCAAGACUCCUAUCAUUUCAAACAUAGCUGAUUCUGCUCUACCAAGGAUCUCAGUGAUGCUGUGACAACCAUCUAUUAGGUGCAACUCUAAAGCUCCACAACACACACCCCAGAGCAUUACCCAGCCUAUGGCAGCAUUGUCUAUAGAAUGCUUCAGCACUGGAGGCUUAGGAAAGCUGACCCAGGAAGAAGAGAUUCAACAAGCAUGGCCGUCUUACCUGUCAUAAGCUUCUUUGAGGUCCCUAGCCAGCUUGCACUUGGGCAGGAUAUGGUGGAACGGGGACUGAGGACCUUCGUUUGCUACAAGAAUCACAACAGAUAAGGAUUUACAGCUUCCAAAGCAAGAAAACAUGCACAAGCCAGAACAAGAAUUAUCUUUAGAACAAACUCAACAUUAAUAAGUAAUGUUAAAGCAAUGUUAAACUAACAUCAAGAAACUCCUUGUAAUCAUCAUCAUCAUCAUCAUCAUCAAUGUAUCCCAGAUUCCUGUAAAAUAAAAGUGGACUCACA